CCGGCCUCAGUUCAGAUUGCAGACUGCAACUCGCCUGCAUGAAGGAGGAAUCGCUAGUAAUCGCAGGUCAGCAUACUGCGGUGAAUCCGUUCCCGGGCCUUGUACACACCGCCCGUCACACCAUGGAAGUUGGCCAUGCCCGAAGUCGUUACCCUAACCGUUCGCGGAGGGGGAUGCCGAAGGCAGGGCUGAUGACUGGGGUGAAGUCGUAACAAGGUAGCCGUACCGGAAGGUGUGGCUGGAUCACCUCCUUUUUAGGGAGACCUAAACCCAAUAUCUUGAGGAUGCAAUUAAGCCCAAGAGAUUGAGGUCAACCUAGGUCGGUCGGAGAAUCGUCG
rnacentral:misc_RNA from 1 species